rnacentral:rRNA from 1 species
UCCAGACUCCUACGGGAGGCAGCAGUGGGGAAUAUUGGGCAAUGGGCGAAAGCCUGACCCAGCAACGCCGCGUGAAGGAAGAAGGCUUUCGGGUUGUAAACUUCUUUUGACAGGGAAGAGCAGAAGACGGUACCUGUCGAAUAAGCCACGGCUAACUACGUGCCAGCAGCCGCGGUAAUACGUAGGUGGCAAGCGUUGUCCGGAUUUACUGGGUGUAAAGGGAGCGUAGACGGCGAUGCAAGUCUGAAGUGAAAGCCCGGGGCUCAACCCCGGGACUGCUUUGGAAACUGUAUGGCUAGAGUGCUGGAGAGGCAAGCGGAAUUCCUAGUGUAGCGGUGAAAUGCGUAGAUAUUAGGAAGAACACCAGUGGCGAAGGCGGCUUGCUGGACAGUAACUGACGUUGAGGCUCGAAAGCGUGGGGAGCAAACAGGAUUAGAUACCCGAGUAAAU